UGGGGAAUUUUCCGCAAUGGGCGAAAGCCUGACGGAGCAAUACCGCGUGCGGGAGGACGCUUUUUGGAGUGUAAACCGCUUUUCUCAAGGAAGAUGAUGACGGUACUUGAGGAAUCAGCAUCGGCUAACUUCG
rnacentral:rRNA from 1 species